CCGGACGAGCCGGGAACGUACCGGAUUAAUACCGGAUUGCCUCCAGAGCCUUCGAGCGCUGGAGAAAAGGAGGCUUCGGCUUCCGGCUGAGGAUGAGCCCGCGGCGGAUUAGCUUGUUGGCGGGGUAACGGCCCACCAAGGCGACGAUCCGUAGCUGGUCUGAGAGGACGAUCAGCCACACUGGGACUGAGACACGGCCCAG
rnacentral:rRNA from 1 species